GUCCACGCCGUAAACGUUGGGCGCUAGGUGUGGGGACAUUCCACGUCCUCCGUGCCGCAGCUAACGCAUUAAGCGCCCCGCCUGGGGAGUACGGCCGCAAGGCUAAAACUCAAAGGAAUUGACGGGGGCCCGCACAAGCGGCGGAGCAUGCGGAUUAAUUCGAUGCAACGCGAAGAACCUUACCUGGGUUUGACAUAUAGGGAAAUCCUCCAGAGAUGGGGGGUCCGUAAGGGUCCUAUACAGGUGGUGCAUGGCUGUCGU
rnacentral:rRNA from 1 species